GUCCCCGUGGCUGAAUGGUAUACGAGCUUUCCUUGUAACCGGAAGGUUCUGGGUUCGAAUCCCAGUGGGUGCG
rnacentral:tRNA from 1 species